rnacentral:rRNA from 1 species
GACGCCUGCCCGGUGCUGGAAGGUUAAGGGGAUCUGUUAGAGCAAUCGAAGCAGUGAACUUAAGCCCCAGUAAACGGCGGCCGUAACUAUAACGGUCCUAAGGUAGCGAAAUUCCUUGUCGGGUAAGUUCCGACCCGCACGAAAGGCGUAACGAUUUGGGCACUGUCUCAACAACAGACUCGGUGAAAUUGUAAUUCCGGUGAAGAUGCCGGAUACCUGCGACAGGACGGAAAGACCCCAUGGAGCUUUACUGUAGCUUGACAUUGGGUCUUGGUACUACAUGUACAGGAUAGGUGGGAGGCUUUGAAACCAGGACGCCAGUUUUGGCGGAGCCAUCCUUGGGAUACCACCCUUGUAGUACUGGGACUCUAACCAUAGGCCAUGAAUCUGGUCUUGGGACACUGUCAGGUGGGCAGUUUGACUGGGGCGGUCGCCUCCCAAAAGGUAACGGAGGCGCUCAAAGGUUCUCUCAGUACGGUCGGAAAUCGUACGUAGAGUGUAAAGGCAAAAGAGAGCUUGAUUGCAAGACAUACAGGUCGAGCAAGGAUGAAAAUCGGACUUAGUGAUCCGGUGGUUCUGCGUGGAAGGGCCAUCGCUCAACGGAUAAAAGCUACCCUGGGGAUAACAGGCUUAUCUCCCCCAAGAGUCCACAUCGACGGGGAGGUUUGGCACCUCGAUGUCGGCUCAUCACAUCCUGGGGCUGUAGUAGGUCCCAAGGGUUGGGCUGUUCGCCCAUUAAAGUGGUACGCGAGCUGGGUUCAGAACGUCGUGAGACAGUUCGGUCCCUAUCCGUCGCAGGCGUAGGAAAUUUGAGAAGACCUGUCCUUAGUACGAGAGGACCGGGAUGGACG